rnacentral:sRNA from 1 species
UCCUAGCCCUGAUGGUAACGGUAUCCUUUUAUUUUUUUCUUUAUAAAAAUAAAAGAUAUAGUGUACAGCAGGAAAUAGC